rnacentral:miRNA from 1 species
UUUGUUUGGCAUGCAGUUGGC